rnacentral:rRNA from 1 species
UAUGUGAUCGUCUCUCGCAUAUCAAUAAGCGGAGGAAAAGAAACUAACAAGGAUUCCCCUAGUAACGGCGAGUGAAGCGGGAAGAGCUCAAAUUUGAAAUCUUAAAGGGUUUCCCUUUACGAAUUGUAGUUUAAAGAAGUGUUUUCUGUUGAGGUUUUGGUAAAAGUUCUUUGGAAUAGGACAUCAUAGAGGGUGAGAAUCCCGUAUUUGACCUUUACUUUCAACUUUGUGAUACACUUUCAAAGAGUCGGAUUGUUUGGGAAUGCAGUCCAAAAUGGGUGGUAAAUUUCCUCUAAAGCUAAAUAUUGGCGAGAGACCGACAGCGAACAAGUACCGUGAGGGAAAGAUGAAAAGAACUUUGAAAAGAGAGUUAAACAGUACGUGAAAUUGUCAAAAGGGAAGCGUUUGACACCAGUGUUGUUUUUCUGAAAAUCAAUUAAAGAACUGUUUAUGCUAAGCUGUUUAGACUUUAUCAGCUAACUGUUUAGUUUUGAGCUUUUCUUUAAUGCACUUUUCAGUUAACAAGUCAACAUCAAUUUCUUUUGCUGUAAAAAAGCUUGAGGAAGGUGGCUUGAGAUUCGUCUUAAGUGUUUAUAGCCUCUUGCCUAUGCAGUCGAGAGAGUUGAGGUCUGCAGCGUAGAUCCUUCGGGGCUAAAUGCAUUUGUGCUAAGUUAUAGCAUUUUAUAGACAACUUGUUGACUAUGAUUUGUCUUGUAGCUUACUCGCUUAUGUUAUUUUACCUACGCUUAGGAUGUUGAGUAGCGACAUACGCAC